UUCAUUAUCUUUUCAAAACGAAAAGGUCAUAGCGCACAUUCUCCAUACUUUCUUCUUCUUUGCCUUCAUAUCUAAGCCGCGACUUUGAGAGGGUUUAAGCAGUUGUAAAACACCAUUGUUCUGCCGCAUCGCCUCCUCAGCUCGGCAAAUUAUCGCCACGUGGACAAAAAAUGUAUAGAAGCAGAGCCGCCACACUCACAUCCAAAUCUCUGAGAACUCUAACAAAGGUAUGCAGACAAAAUCACCAUUUAGAAUCAAUAAAGUUCGUUAAUUUUUCAAGAAAUCUCAGCACUGCUACUCAAAUAUCUGAGUUUGAUAACUAUAGAGAGCAAAACCCAGAUGGGGUUUUCAAUUAUAACCCAAAUAAUACAAAUUCUUUGAACCCUAGGCAAAACCCUAGAGCGGAAUUUCAAGAAUCAGCUAAUGGUGCUAGAGGUUAUUUUUCUAAGGAUACCAUUGGGUUUCAGCGGGACCCACAUGGUCAAAAUGAGAACUUUUCAUUAAGAAAUGAUUUUCAGCAAACUGUUCGGGCAAAUGGGAGUUUAUCGUCAAGCAGUAAUGAUUUCGGGUCACGAAAGGAAUAUCAAAGUAAUAAUUUAGUCCAGCAUAAUAGAAAUGAUGCUGGUUACAAAGGUGAAAAUUCGUCGAAUAUGAUGCAUAGUUCCAGGUUUGAGGGACGUGUAGAAGCUCAGCCGAGUCAAAAUGGAGUUUAUGGACACUAUCAACAGAUUUUAAAUGGUUAUUAUGGUGGGAACAGUGAAACGUCACAGCGGAAUGUCAGUGCCAAUUACACGAGAAACAUAGGAGUGCCUCAGCCCAGUUAUAACCCUGGAAAUGUAAGGAAUGUUCAAGCAGGAAAUUCUGAAUCGUAUCCACAAAGUGCAAGUGCGUAUGAUAUGGAAAGGCAUACGAAUUCGAGUGGUUACUCAAGGGAGAUGAUGGGGCAAUAUCAGCAGAAUGUAAGCGGCUUUAACCCUUCUAGUACUGGACAUCAAGCUUCUUAUCAAUCACAGAAUGGAAUAGUAGGCAAUCAAGAAAUGAGAAGUUCAACACCUGCUGAACAGUCAAUCGAUUCUGCUGAUAGCAUCAUUAAAAAAGGCUCAAUUGACGAGCUCGAUAACUCUUGUAAAGAAGGCAAAGUGAAGGAGGCAGUUGAAGUUUUGCAUUUGUUGGAGCAGCAACAUGUCACAGUCGAUUUGUCUCAAUAUAUAACAUUAAUGGAUCUCUGUGGUGAGGAUAAAUCCCUUGAGGAGGCUAAAUCAGUUCAUGAGCACCUUGUGAGAUCUCAUCCCCAUCUUGACGUCAAAACGUACAAUAAGAUUCUUGAAAUGUAUGGCAAAUGUGGCUCCAUGAAUGAUGCCUUUUCGGUGUUUCAAAAAAUGCCUCAGCGUAAUCUGACUUCUUGGGACACGAUGAUUACUUGGCUUGCUAAGAAUGGUCUUGGAGAAGACGCAAUAGAAUUGUUUGCAGAAUUCAAGAAAACUGGGAUGAAACCUGAUGGCCAAAUGUAUCUGGGUGUCUUUCAUGCUUGUAGUGUUGUAGGUGAUAUAGUUGAAGGAAUGUUACACUUUGAAUCAAUGAGUAAAGAUUAUGGUAUUGUUCACUCCAUGGAGCAUUAUGUGGGAGUGGUAGAUAUGUUGGGAAGUACAGGAUACCUUAAUGAAGCGAUAGAGUUCAUUGAAAACAUGUCUAUAGAGCCAAGUAUUGAAGUAUGGGAAACCAUGAUGAAUCUCUGUAGAAUUCAUGGGAACUUGGAGCUUGGGGAUCGUUGUGCUGAGAUUGUUGAACUCCUAGAUCCAUCUCGUUUGGAUGAACAGUCAAAGGCAGGUUUUUUAGCUGUAAAAGCAUCAGAUAUUGCUAAGGACAAAGAAAAGAAAAAAUCUGCUCAAAGUCUUCUCGAGGCUAGAAGCAGAGUCCAUGAAUAUCGAGCAGGAGAUAGAUCACAUCCCGACCAUGAGAAGAUAUAUGAAUUGCUUAGGGGUUUAAAGCAGCUAAUGAAGGAGGACGGUUAUAUACCAGAAAUUAAGUUUGUGUUACAUGACGUAGACCAAGAAACUAAAGAGGACGCUUUAAUGGCUCACAGCGAGAGACUUGCUUUUGCUCAAGGUCUUAUGAGUAGCUCUGCACGAUCACCAAUCCGAAUAAUAAAGAAUCUGCGUGUCUGUGGUGAUUGCCAUAAUGCAUUGAAGAUUGCUUCGAGGCUUGUUGGUCGGGAAAUUAUUAUGCGAGAUGCUAAGAGGUUUCAUCAUUUAAAAGACGGAUUGUGCUCGUGUCGGGAUUACUGGUGAAGAUACCAACCAUCAGAUACCCAAGAUGUAGUUUCAGACCCAGAGAAUGCUCUAAGGACAUGACACCUAUCAUUUGUUGAAUUCCUUCAGAACAUGUUCAGUUUCCCGCUCAUUAUUAUGAAGACGAUCCACCGAUGAACUCCUUCCUAUCCUGGAGAAGCUACGGGUUUCUUACUUUCUUUAGAGAUGUAAAAACUUUCGCACAGCCCAUGUCUGGAAAAGCUAUCAUUCUUAGCCGAUGGAAUAGUUUUACUGUUCUAUUAGCAGAGAUUGAAACCAUGUUCAAAGAUCGGCAAGUACCAUACUUAAUGCCAGGUAGUCCCUUGAUUUGGUUAGUGCUGCUAAAGUGUCAAUGUGCAUAAGGAUACGAAGGUGAGUUAGUUGCAGAUACUGUAAAUCAUUAUUCCAAAACUUGUAGAGGACGAGCCGCCAAGCAUUUUCGGUCAUUGAGUAUGGGUCAUCGAGUAACAUAAAUUACUUCUCUACCCUGUUCACCUGGAACACGACCAAAUAAAGAUCGGCCAUCUUCUCAAAGUGGAUAAGCGAACUAGCGAAGACAGUAGGAGAUGAAGUGGAAUUAUUUUCCAGGUCUCAAUCUAAUUGUCUCACAUUUAUAGGAUAAGAUCCUAAGUUUUCAAGAUUAUUUUCAUUUGAGUGCUUUCAUUCUUUUCUAAAGCAGUACUCCGAUAUUUAUAUUUUUUGAGUAACAUAGGCUGUUGUAUCCUUGUACUUUUGGUGGAAACCCCUUUAACUGAGAUGGUGGCAUUUUCUUUUAUUCAUGCUUGAACACAGUUGGAGUUGGCUAAAUUAUCCAAUUUCAACAGUUGGAAAUCAAAAGUCAAAACCUGCUCAUUGUAUUAAUUGGGGUCAAGCUCAUAAAAAGAAUCAAAACUCUAUCCUUGAAUUGUUA